AUACGGAGGGUGCGAGCGUUGUUCGGAAUUAUUGGGCGUAAAGAGCAUGUAGGCGGUCUGUUAAGUCUGGUGUGAAAGCCCGGGGCUCAACCCCGGAAGUGCAUUGGAUACUGGCAGACUUGAGUAUGAGAGAGGAAAGCGGAAUUCCGAGUGUAGGAGUGAAAUCCGUAGAUAUUCGGAGGAACACCAGUGGCGAAGGCGGCUUUCUGGACCAAUACUGACGCUGAGAUGCGAAAGCGUGGGGAGCGAACAGGAUUAGAAACCCUAGUAGUCC
rnacentral:rRNA from 1 species